rnacentral:tRNA from 1 species
CCGGAAUAGCUCAGUCGGUAGAGCAUAGGACUGAAAAUCCUCGUGUCACC